rnacentral:rRNA from 1 species
GAUGAACGCUGGCGGCGUGCCUAAUACAUACAAGUCGAGCGAACAGACGAGGAGCUUGCUCCUCUGACGUUAGCGGCGGACGGGUGAGUAACACGUGGAUAACCUACCUAUAAGACUGGGAUAACUUCGGGAAACCGGAGCUAAUACCGGAUAAUAUAUUGAACCGCAUGGUUCAAUAGUGAAAGACGGUUUUGCUGUCACUUAUAGAUGGAUCCGCGCCGCAUUAGCUAGUUGGUAAGGUAACGGCUUACCAAGGCGACGAUGCGUAGCCGACCUGAGAGGGUGAUCGGCCACACUGGAACUGAGACACGGUCCAGACUCCUACGGGAGGCAGCAGUAGGGAAUCUUCCGCAAAGGGCGAAAGCCUGACGGAGCAACGCCGCGUGAGUGAUGAAGGUCUUCGGAUCGUAAAACUCUGUUAUUAGGGAAGAACAAAUGUGUAAGUAACUAUGCACGUCUUGACGGUACCUAAUCAGAAAGCCACGGCUAACUACGUG